UGAGCUUGAAUCCUGGCUCAGGAUGAACGCUAGCGGCAGGCUUAACACAUGCAAGUCGAGGGGUAUAGUUCUUCGGAAUUAGAGACCGGCGCACGGGUGCGUAACGCGUAUGCAAUCUACCUUUUACAGAGGGAUAGCCCAGAGAAAUUUGGAUUAAUACCUCAUAGUAUAAUGACUUGGCAUCAAGACAUUAUUAAAGUCACAACGGUAAAAGAUGAGCAUGCGUCCCAUUAGCUAGUUGGUAAGGUAACGGCUUACCAAGGCUACGAUGGGUAGGGGUCCUGAGAGGGAGAUCCCCCACACUGGUACUGAGACACGGACCAGACUCCUACGGGAGGCAGCAGUGAGGAAUAUUGGACAAUGGGCGCAAGCCUGAUCCAGCCAUGCCGCGUGCAGGAUGACGGUCCUAUGGAUUGUAAACUGCUUUUAUACGAGAAGAAACACUACUUCGUGAAGUAGCUGACGG
rnacentral:rRNA from 1 species